AGAGUUUGAUCAUGGCUCAGGACGAACGCUGGCGGCGUGCCUAAUACAUGCAAGUCGAGCGAAUCUUUGGGAGCUUGCUCCCAUUGGUUAGCGGCGGACGGGUGAGUAACACGUGGGCAACCUGCCUGUAAGACUGGGAUAACACCGGGAAACCGGUGCUAAUACCGGAUAAUCCUUUUCCUCUCAUGAGGGAAAGCUGAAAGAUGGUUUCGGCUGUCACUUACAGAUGGGCCCGCGGCGCAUUAGCUAGUUGGUGAGGUAACGGCUCACCAAGGCGACGAUGCGUAGCCGACCUGAGAGGGUGAUCGGCCACACUGGGACUGAGACACGGCCCAGACUCCUACGGGAGGCAGCAGUAGGGAAUCUUCCGCAAUGGACGAAAGUCUGACGGAGCAACGCCGCGUGAGCGAUGAAGGCCUUCGGGUCGUAAAGCUCUGUUGUUAGGGAAGAACAAGUACCGGAGUAACUGCCGGUACCUUGACGGUACCUAACCAGAAAGCCACGGCUAACUACGUGCCAGCAGCCGCGGUAAUACGUAGGUGGCAAGCGUUGUCCGGAAUUAUUGGGCGUAAAGCGCGCGCAGGCGGUCCUUUAAGUCUGAUGUGAAAGCCCACGGCUCAACCGUGGAGGGUCAUUGGAAACUGGGGGACUUGAGUGCAGAAGAGGAAAGCGGAAUUCCACGUGUAGCGGUGAAAUGCGUAGAGAUGUGGAGGAACACCAGUGGCGAAGGCGGCUUUCUGGUCUGUAACUGACGCUGAGGCGCGAAAGCGUGGGGAGCAAACAGGAUUAGAUACCCUGGUAGUCCACGCCGUAAACGAUGAGUGCUAAGUGUUAGAGGGUUUCCGCCCUUUAGUGCUGCAGCUAACGCAUUAAGCACUCCGCCUGGGGAGUACGGCCG
rnacentral:rRNA from 1 species